rnacentral:tRNA from 1 species
GGUUCCAUGUCCGAGUGGUUAGGUACCGGUCUGCAAAACCGUCUACACCAGUUCGAAUCUGGUUGGAACCUCCA